ACGAGUAAGAAUGACAAAGAUAGAAAAGAAGGGAUAAGAGAAGGAGAAAAGGUACGAGUACACUCGGUAUUCGUAACUGGAAAGAUUUUGUCGAUCCUUCUCCUCCUCCUACUUCUUUUCUUCUCUUUCCAGCUGUGCUUUUAGCCGAGCGCUCGACCGAAUCGCUCCGUGACUGAGAAAACCGAGAUUUCAUUGAGGAACAAUAGGUACACGACACCUGUAAAGGACAAGCCACCAAUGGCGGCGCCUAGACCUAGAUUACGACAAUAACGUUGCUUACCACCGACGCUUUCAAACGACUCGAGCCAAGAGAAUCAAGAGGGACAACAAAUAUAUGCUAGUGUACGUGUACGUACUUUAUAUAUAUACAUAUAUAUACAUAUAUAUGUAUGUGUAUGCAUGUAUGUACGUAUGCAUAUAUUUAUAUGCAUGUGUAUAUAUGUGAUGGCAAAGAGAGAGAGAGAGAGAGAGAGAGAGAGAUGGAAGACGACUCCCUGGCACGAGUCUAACAGUAGGGCAAUGUCACACCUAGGCUAUUAUUCUCACGAGCAAAUCUACGGCAGACUAAUAACCUGUCACCAACUGCCACCGUGCUUGCUACUCACGGAGUAACGUCGAGCAGCCUCUCUUUACGUGACUAAUGCUUCUCCUGUAUGUCUGACUCCUGUCUGCAUGGUCUUACUUGUAUGUAUAUGUGCGACUUUACCGUAUAUAUACAGAAGUGUAUGUAUAACUAUAUACGUUUAUAUGCGUAUAGAACGUGGACGAUAUCUUCUCUCUUUGCUUUGUCUCUCUCUCUCUCUCUCUCUCUCUCUCUCUCCUACUUCUCAACUUUACACAUACAUACACUUUACCUUUUCUCAUCCUCAUCAACCUCCUCUUUUACGAUAGCACGCUGUCGACCGAACUAUUUAUGUAAGCGUCAACCAAGCUGGCGCGAGCAAGCGAGAAGGGGGCAAUUAAGUACGGCGCGUGCCGUUCUUCUGCAUAGUUAUUAAGCCUCCCCUCGAUGGUUUACGAGGGUACGAGUACUUUGUUAAUAUACAAUGAGAAUAGAAUUAUUUAUCGCUAAUCUUUAUGGAAAUAAACUAGAUAAGUUUAUUCGUUUCGUUCGAUUUCGA